rnacentral:rRNA from 1 species
UACAGAGGUCCCAAGCGUUGUUCGGAUUCAUUGGGCGUAAAGGGUGCGUAGGCGGCGCGGUAAGUCGGGUGUGAAAUCUUGGAGCUUAACUCCGAAACUGCAUUCGAUACUGCCGUGCUUGAGGACUGGAGAGGAGACUGGAAUUUACGGUGUAGCGGUGAAAUGCGUAGAUAUCGUAAGGAAGACCAGUGGCGAAGGCGGGUCUCUGGACAGUUCCUGACGCUGAGGCACGAAGGCCAGGGGAGCGAACGGG